GGGCGAUUAGCUCAGUUGGUUUAGAGUGCCUGCCUUACAAGCAGGAUGUCACUGGUUCGAGUCCAGUAUCGCCCA
rnacentral:tRNA from 1 species